rnacentral:ncRNA from 1 species
UCCAUCGUGAGGUGGAAUCUAGAGGAAGGUGGAGGCAAAUCUCUGGUCUGACGAACAGAAAUCACAUCAGGCUAUGGUUAAGGAUAAGGCUGCUACACAAGCUGAAAUCCAAUAAUCACCCGGAAUUAACCAUAGUAAAUGUGGCAGAUAGAUGGAGAGAAAGAGCGUGCG